ACUACCUAUAAGACUGGGAUAACUUCGGGAAACCGGAGCUAAUACCGGAUAAUAUAUUGAACCGCAUGGUUCAAUAGUGAAAGACGGUUUUGCUGUCACUUAUGGAUGGAUCCGCGCCGCAUUAGCUAGUUGGUAAGGUAACGGCUUACCAAGGCAACGAUGCGUAGCCGACCUGAGAGGGUGAUCGGCCACACUGGAACUGAGACACGGUCCAG
rnacentral:rRNA from 1 species